UGUUUCGGCUAGGGGGCCAUCCCGGCUUACCAACCCGAUGCAAACUGCGAAUACCGGAGAAUGUUAUCACGGGAGACACACGGCGGGUGCUAACGUCCGUCGUGAAGAGGGAAACAACCCAGACCGCCAGCUAAGGUCCCAAAGUCAUGGUUAAGUGGGAAACGAUGUGGGAAGGCCCAGACAGCCAGGAUGUUGGCUUAGAAGCAGCCAUCAUUUAAAGAAAGCGUAAUAGCUCACUGGUCGAGUCGGCCUGCGCGGAAGAUGUAACGGGGCUAAACCAUGCACCGAAGCUGCGGCAGCGACACUGUG
rnacentral:rRNA from 1 species